GCUGGGUCUUGAAAGUCAAGGCGGUGACGGAUUGGCUCGCGUCCGAUUAGCCAGUUGGCGGGGCAACGGCCCACCAAGGCGACGAUCGGUAGGGGUUCUGAGAGGAAGGCCCCCCACAAUGGAACUGAGACACGGUCCAUACUCCUACGGGAGGCAGCAGUGAGGAAUAUUGGUCAAUGGGCGGAAGCCUGAACCAGCCAUGCCGCGUGCAGGAAUGAGGCCCUACGGGUCGUGAACUGCUUUUCGCGCGGAGCAAUAAGGGGGGUUCGCCCCUCCGAUGAGAGUACGCGCGGAAUAAGCAUCGGCUAACUCCGUGCCAGCAGCCGCGGUAAUACGGAGGAUGCGAGCGUUAUCCGGAUUCAUUGGGUAUAAAGGGUGCGUAGGCGGCCCCCCAAGUCAGCGGUGAAAUGUCCGGGCCCAACCCGGAGGGUGCCGUUGAUACUGCGGGGCUGGAGUACGGACGCCGGCGGAGGAAUGAGUGGUGUAGCGGUGAAAUGCAUAGAUAUCACUCAGAACACCGAUUGCGAAGGCAUCCGCCGAGGCCGUUACUGACGCUGAGGCACGAAAGCGUGGGGAUAGA
rnacentral:rRNA from 1 species